CCUACGGGAGGCAGCAGUGGGGAAUUUUGGACAAUGGGCGCAAGCCUGAUCCAGCAAUGCCGCGUGCAGGAUGAAGGCCUUCGGGUUGUAAACUGCUUUUGUACGGAACGAAACGGUCCUUUCUAAUAUAAGGGGCUAAUGACGGUACCGUAAGAAUAAGCACCGGCUAACUACGUGCCAGCAGCCGCGGUAAUACGUAGGGUGCGAGCGUUAAUCGGAAUUACUGGGCGUAAAGCGUGCGCAGGCGGUUAUAUAAGACAGAUGUGAAAUCCCCGGGCUCAACCUGGGACCUGCAUUUGUGACUGUAUAGCUAGAGUACGGUAGAGGGGGAUGGAAUUCCGCGUGUAGCAGUGAAAUGCGUAGAUAUGCGGAGGAACACCGAUGGCGAAGGCAAUCCCCUGGACCUGUACUGACGCUCAUGCACGAAAGCGUGGGGAGCAAACAGGAUUAGAUACCCUGGUAGUCCACGCCCUAAACGAUGUCAACUGGUUGUUGGGUCUUCACUGACUCAGUAACGAAGCUAACGCGUGAAGUUGACCGCCUGGGGAGUACGGCCGCAAGGUUGAAACGUCAAAGAGUAGUGACGUGUGAGAGUCGACGAGGCACGACGGAGGGAGG
rnacentral:rRNA from 1 species